AACGAACGCUGGCGGCAUGCCUAACACAUGCAAGUCGAACGAGAUCUUCGGGUCUAGUGGCGCACGGGUGCGUAACGCGUGGGAAUCUGCCCUUUGGUUCGGAAUAACAGUUGGAAACGACUGCUAAUACCGGAUGAUGACGAAAGUCCAAAGAUUUAUCGCCAGAGGAUGAGCCCGCGUAGGAUUAGCUAGUUGGUGUGGUAAAGGCGCACCAAGGCGACGAUCCUUAGCUGGUCUGAGAGGAUGAUCAGCCACACUGGGACUGAGACACGGCCCAGACUCCUACGGGAGGCAGCAGUGGGGAAUAUUGGACAAUGGGCGAAAGCCUGAUCCAGCAAUGCCGCGUGAGUGAUGAAGGCCUUAGGGUUGUAAAGCUCUUUUACCCGGGAUGAUAAUGACAGUACCGGGAGAAUAAGCUCCGGCUAACUCCGUGCCAGCAGCCGCCGCCGUAA
rnacentral:rRNA from 1 species